UGUUUAUCACAUGCAUCAACAGAUUAUUACUGAGUGAAAAAUGCCGCGCGUGAGAAGGAGAACCACCUCCCGUGGGCUGGUUCCUGCAUGGGGGUAUGCCAGGGCCUGCAGCGAGGUCAAUUCUGGGAGCUCAGUGAGGCAGGCAGCGUUGGCCAACAACAUAAACCAUGUGACGUUGUCACGCUACCUCAAGCGGAGGGCAGAAGAGGGCAGUGAAGCGGCUAGGUCCCCUGGCUAUAACCCGGACAAUAGGGUUUUUAACGCAGCGCAGCGCAGGAGGGAAAGGUCAGGGACUACCUGAAGAGGGCAGCAGCCAUUUAUUUUGGGCUCACCCCUAAUGAGGUCAGAAAAUUUGCCUUUGAGCUGGCAGUGCACUUCAGCUGCCCAUUCCCUGCAUCCUGGUCGAGGAAGAGCAUGGCGGGGAAGGACUGGUUCACCUCCUUCAUGGAGCGCAGUGGCAGCCUCUCCCUUCGGCGUCCAGAGGCCACUAGCCAACAACGGUUGUCAAGUUUCAACCAAAGUAAUGUAAACUUGUUCCACCAAAAUUUAAAGACAGUGCUGGACCGGCACCAGUUCCAGGCCAAGGACAUUUGGAACAUUGAUGAAACCGGGGUCACCACUGUCCAGGUGCAAGACCGCGUCGUCGCCCAGAUGGAGCAGAAGCAGGUCGGGUCAGUGACCUCAGCGGAGAGGGGGACCCUGGUCACAGUUGCCCUGGCAGGCAAUGCUCAGGGCGACCUUGUUCCGCCAUUCUUCAUCUUCCCCCCGUAAGCGGUUCAAAGACCACUUCCUGAGGGGUGGACCCGUUGGCUGUGCAGGCAGCGGCAACCCAACUGGCUGGAUGAAGGAGCCAGACUUCCUCCUGUACCUGGCCCACUUCACCAGUCACACCCGUGUGUCCAAGGAGUCGAAGCUGCUCCUCCUGCUGGACAAUCACACGUCCCACCUGUCAAUUGCAGCAAUUGAUUACUGCAGAGCCAAUGGCAUAGUGCUGCUGUCAUUCCCUCCCCACUGCACCCACAGGUUGCAGCCAAUGGACAUUAGUGUCUUCGGCCCCCUUAAGGGGUACGUAAACAGUGCAGCGGACAGGUGGAUGAGGAGCCACCCAGGGAUAAACAUCUAAAUUUAUGAUGUGCCCUCCAUCGUUGCUGAAGCCUUACCAAAGGCUGCAACAGUGAACAACAUUACCUCCGGGUUCUCAAGUCCAGGGAUCUGGCCUUUUAACCCCUCUGCAUUUGAGGAGAAGGACUUCGCCGGAGCCUAUUCAACAGACCGCCCUCCUCCCCAGGCUUCGGGUGACGAGGUCAGCGCUUCUCCAGGUGCCACUUCAGGCAUGGAUGUACCUGAUCGAGCUGUCCGGCCUGAGGGAGAGGCCGUUGAAUUCAGCCCGGACAUCGUCCGGCCUUACCCUAAGGCCGGACCUAGAAAGAUCACAAAGAGAAGAGGGAGAAAGAGGACAACUGCUAUACUUACGGACACCCCGGUGAGGGCUGCUUUAGAGGCGGAAAAGCAGGGAACUGUGAAGCAGCGUCGUCCCGCCAAG
ensembl:lncRNA